UACGUAGGGACCAAGCGUUGUUCAGAUUUACUGGGCGUAAAGGGCGCGUAGGCGGCGUGACAAGUCACUUGUGAAAUCUCUGAGCUUAACUCAGAACGGCCAAGUGAAACUGUUGUGCUAGAGUGCAGAAGGGGCAAUCGGAAUUCUUGGUGUAGCGGUGAAAUGCGUAGAUAUCAAGAGGAACACCUGAGGUGAAGACGGGUUGCUGGGCUGACACUGACGCUGAGGCGCGAAAGCCAGGGGAGCAAACGGG
rnacentral:rRNA from 1 species